rnacentral:lncRNA from 1 species
UUCCAAGUUGCCGAGGAGAAGCGUGCACAAGAGACCUGGCACGGGCACCCACGUCGGAAUGCUGCUGGGCAAGGCUGGUUCUCAGUGGGCGACAGAGAAUCCAUCGUUCAUACACCAUCGAACUUUUGAUGUCUACACAGUAAGGCACAUGCGUGACCACUUUGCUGAAAAAAGAGAUCAAAUAUCAACAAGGCAGAGCCGCGGUCUCUUUAUGCACAUUUCCUAACCCCCGAAACAGAGAGAGGGGGAAACUGCCAGGGAUUGUCAUCAUCGUCGGCAUCAUCAUAUAACCAGUCCGGCCCUUACCAGUCCAUUUGACUGUUUAACUCACUGUUAACCAGUCACUGUUAACCAGCCUCAUCAGUUGUCUUAGUUCCACACAGACACAGGCCAAACCUUUCCGGGAAGUAAGCAGCCAACCUGCUGCGGUCCUGUGCACAGCCCUGGCUUGGGGUAGUACAAAAGCAGCAAAGACAGAUUCAUAAGUGACUUAAAUGGCAUUCAAUGGGAAAAUUGUUUAAACAGAAAUGAAUGGGACACCCUUACAAUGGAAUCUAUGUGCUGGUUAACAAGAAAGAAUCCGCCUCUGUUACUAACAUGGAUUUACCUUUAAGACAUAUUGCAAAGUGGAGAGGCAAAUUAAGGAGCAAUGUAUAUCACAUGAUACCCUGUGUGUUAAAAUAAACAUCCAAAACUAUUUUGGGAGAGGGAGAGA